UACAGAGGUGGCAAGCGUUGUUCGGAAUUACUGGGCGUAAAGGGCGCGUAGGCGGCCAUCUAAGUCAGACGUGAAAUCCCCCCGGCUUAACCUGGGAACUGCGCUCGAUACUGUUGAGCUAGAGUGUGGAAGGGGGCUACUGGAAUUCCGUGUGUAGCGGGUGAAAAUGCGUAGAUAUAACGGAGGAACACCUGCGGCGAAGGCGGGGUAGCUGGGCCAACACUGACGCUGGAGAACGCGAAAGCUAGGGGAGCAAACGGG
rnacentral:rRNA from 1 species